rnacentral:rRNA from 1 species
AGAGUUUGAUCAUGGCUCAGAGCGAACGCUGGCGGCAGGCUUAACACAUGCAAGUCGAGCGGGCAUAGCAAUAUGUCAGCGGCAGACGGGUGAGUAACGCGUGGGAACGUACCUUUUGGUUCGGGACAACACAGGGAAACUUGUGCUAAUACCGGAUAAGCCCUUACGGGGAAAGAUUUAUCGCCGAAAGAUCGGCCCGCGUCUGAUUAGCUAGUUGGUGAGGUAAUGGCUCACC